rnacentral:lncRNA from 1 species
GGCCCGUUCACGCAUGCGCGGUGCAGCCUGCCGCCUCGGUUCGGUCGCUACGCAACCUCUCGCCGCUUUAAAUUUAAGUAUAAUUUCUUACCUAGUGAGUAGGCGACCUUGGUGGGACUGACUCUUCCCAGCUCUCCCGAGAAUGUAACGAUGUUGAACCAGACGAGAACAAUUUCCUUGAGCUUUAACUGCCUGUAACACUAGUUGGAGCCUGUUCUUGACAACACCUACAGUUGAGCAUCAAAGCAGCCUGAUAGCUACUGCUGUGUAAUUUAAUUCACAAGCAGGACUUCGGUUUCUCUAUGGAAAAUGUUCUGCCUUCCUGUGACUGUGUGUUCCAGAGCUCUAUGUCAAAAUUUAAAAAUGUGAAGAGGAAGAUAAAAGCUAGAACUCAGUGACUGAGCUCGAUCACCAGCCGCUGCAGAGGGGAGAGGAAGGACAAGCUUAGAGUCAUGGAGCCUUAGUGAAGAAGGCCAGGAGAAUCAACUCAGGCGUCUGGAAAAAGCAAGAGACACAGAGAAAAGGGGGUUGUCACACAUUCCUGCUAUUAGUCCCAGCACUGUGGCUUGGGGCUAUGGGUGGAGGCAGGCCGAUCUCUGCGAGUUCAAGGCCAGCCUGGGUUACAUAGUUCCAGCUACAUAGACUUUGGAAAAUGCUUUUAUCCUUUGCCACUCCAGCUUUCCUGUCAGGUGACUCUUUCCACCAGAUCUUUUGAUACAGAAGCAGGGGGACACCACCACUGCCCCUGCUGCAAACUGUCUUUCUUAAAUCGUAG